rnacentral:rRNA from 1 species
CGGACAGAAGGGAGCUUGCUCCCGGAUGUUAGCGGCGGACGGGUGAGUAACACGUGGGUAACCUGCCUGUAAGACUGGGAUAACUCCGGGAAACCGGAGCUAAUACCGGAUAGUUCCUUGAACCGCAUGGUUCAAGGAUGAAAGACGGUUUCGGCUGUCACUUACAGAUGGACCCGCGGCGCAUUAGCUAGUUGGUGAGGUAACGGCUCACCAAGGCGACGAUGCGUAGCCGACCUGAGAGGGUGAUCGGCCACACUGGGACUGAGACACGGCCCAGACUCCUACGGGAGGCAGCAGUAGGGAAUCUUCCGCAAUGGACGAAAGUCUGACGGAGCAACGCCGCGUGAGUGAUGAAGGUUUUCGGAUCGUAAAGCUCUGUUGUUAGGGAAGAACAAGUGCAAGAGUAACUGCUUGCACCUUGACGGUACCUAACCAGAAAGCCACGGCUAACUACGUGCCAGCAGCCGCGGUAAUACGUAGGUGGCAAGCGUUGUCCGGAAUUAUUGGGCGUAAAGGGCUCGCAGGCGGUUUCUUAAGUCUGAUGUGAAAGCCCCCGGCUCAACCGGGGAGGGUCAUUGGAAACUGGGAAACUUGAGUGCAGAAGAGGAGAGUGGAAUUCCACGUGUAGCGGUGAAAUGCGUAGAGAUGUGGAGGAACACCAGUGGCGAAGGCGACUCUCUGGUCUGUAACUGACGCUGAGGAGCGAAAGCGUGGGGAGCGAACAGGAUUAGAUACCCUGGUAGUCCACGCCGUAAACGAUGAGUGCUAAGUGUUAGGGGGUUUCCGCCCCUUAGUGCUGCAGCUAACGCAUUAAGCACUCCGCCUGGGGAGUACGGUCGCAAGACUGAAACUCAAAGGAAUUGACGGGGGCCCGCACAAGCGGUGGAGCAUGUGGUUUAAUUCGAAGCAACGCGAAGAACCUUACCAGGUCUUGACAUCCUCUGACAACCCUAGAGAUAGGGCUUUCCCUUCGGGGACAGAGUGACAGGUGGUGCAUGGUUGUCGUCAGCUCGUGUCGUGAGAUGUUGGGUUAAGUCCCGCAACGAGCGCAACCCUUGAUCUUAGUUGCCAGCAUUCAGUUGGGCACUCUAAGGUGACUGCCGGUGACAACCGGAAGAAAGGUGGGGAUGACGUCAAAUCAUCANCCCCUUAUGACNUGGGCUACCACGUGCUACAUGGACGAACAAGGGCUGCAAACCGCAGGUUAGCCAUCCCCAAUCUGUUUNAGUUCGGAUCCANUNGCAAUC